AUCUAUGGCCAUACCACCCUGAAUGCACCUGAUCUCACCUGAUCUUGGAAGCUAAGCAAGGUUGGGCCUGGUUAGUACUUGGAUGGGAUACCACCUGGGAAUACCAGGUGCUGUAGGCG
rnacentral:rRNA from 1 species